GAUGAACGCUGGCGGCGUGCCUAACACAUGCAAGUCGAACGGAGAUUUAACGCUGAUGAAGCUUCGGCAGAUUCUUGUUAAAUCUUAGUGGCGGACGGGUGAGUAACGCGUGGGCAACCUGCCUCAUACUGGGGGAUAACAGCUGGAAACGACUGUUAAUACCGCAUAAGCGCACGGUAUCGCAUGAUACAGUGUGAAAAACUCCGGUGGUAUGAGAUGGGCCCGCGUCAGAUUAGCCAGUUGGCAGGGUAACGGCCUACCAAAGCGACGAUCUGUAGCCGGCCUGAGAGGGCGGACGGCCACAUUGGGACUGAGACACGGCCCAAACUCCUACGGGAGGCAGCAGUGGGGGAUAUUGCACAAUGGAGGAAACUCUGAUGCAGCGACGCCGCGUGAGUGAAGAAGUAUUUCGGUAUGUAAAGCUCUAUCAGCAGGGAAGAAAGACUCGUAAGAGAGAUGACGU
rnacentral:rRNA from 2 species